AUAUCGUGAAAAAAUCACAGCACACAUCGGAUACGAUCCGUAUCAGCUGAAAAAAAAACGACUUUUCUCGUGAUUUAUCCGAUUUGCCCGCUGUCCAAGCGAUGGAUAUCACCAGCUACCUCGUCCUUCAUACCUCCUACUACACGGCUAGCCAGAUGAAAGCGUAUACAAGCCUGGAAGCUUUCAACUACUUCGUGUGUGGAUGGGUGAAUGACCUCGGCACCAAAGAGGCAUUAAACAAAUGUCGCCUUGUUUUUGCCCGGGUCAACCAUUCCCAGAGGUCUGGAGAAACACCAUUAAAAACGUGGAUUGUAGCUAAAGAAGAUGGAGAGGUUGUUACAGCACACUGUAACUGUAUGGCUGGUUUGUCAGAAUCCUGCUCACAUGUUGGAGCAGUUCUGUUUGCAAUCGAAGCAGGUGUGAAGAUGAGAGACUGCAUCCUGCACCACUGAGAAGUGCAAGUGGCUAAUGCCAUCACAUGUCAAAAA